rnacentral:rRNA from 1 species
UACGUAGGUGGCAAGCGUUGUCCGGAUUUACUGGGCGUAAAGCGCGCGUAGGCGGGUUGGUAAGUCCGCUGUGAAAGCCCGGAGCUCAACUCCGGAGGGUCGGUGGAUACUGCCAGUCUUGAAGGUGCUAGGGGGAGAUGGAAUUACCGGUGUAGCGGUGAAAUGCGUAGAUAUCGGUAGGAACACCAGUGGCGAAGGCGGUCUCCUGGGGCAUUCUUGACGCUGAGGCGCGAAAGCUGGGGGAGCGAACGGG